GAGUGCGCUGGUAAAGGGAGGGGGGGAAUGAGGCAAACAAGAAACACGUAAUCACCCAAACAACCGUUUUAGUCCUUUCCCCCUGGAUUUGUGUCGUAAGAUAGCCUACAGUAUCUACUUCAAAGGAUACACAGGGGGCCGCGAGACUGUUUCAAUGGGACUUGAAGGCAACAAACUCAUCAAAGGUCCACCCCCCACCCUCUCAGCACAUAGUGGUAAUGACCCCAAGAACUAUAUGACAUUAUGGGGCAUGCUGUCUUAUGAGUUGGAGUACGCUGGCUCUUCUAAUAUAACGGCCCAGAGUGUCGGAGUGAAAGGCAGGGUGCGGUGGAACAAACACAAUGGGCUGACCUUCAGCCUGCAUCUGCUCAGAGAACACACUAAAUGGUCACAUUGAUGCUCAUGUUUAGCUCUUUGCUAAGGGGCCUGAUGGAGCCGACAGCGAUCGGAGACACAGUGAGGGUCUGGGCCUCUGCCAGCUAGCUAACCCAGGGACAAAUUGAUUUAAUCAAAGCCAGCUACAAUUACAUUCAUCCUAACCUUGCAUUGCUGUAAACAUUUAUGAAAUCCUAUGAACUUCAUCUGAAUGUAGUAUGUAUGGUUUAUGAAUGCAUUAUGAAGCAUUUAUGUAGGUACCCUUCAAAAUAAAGUG